AGUAAUAAUAACUGCAUAACAACAUAUUUCAGAAGCUUUUGGUUCAAUGUCUUGCUAAAAAAUAGUUAAGAAGACAGUUUUUGAAAUUAGUAAUUGAGUCAAUUGAUUUUAAUGGUGAAGGUAAACUGUUCCAUGAUUUUACACUUUGGUAUUUUAUGGAUUUUAGACUAUAUUUUACAGAAGAAUGAUUUGAUACAAGAAGAUCAUAGUUAUUAGAAGAUCAAAGAUUAUAGCGACAGCUUUCUCUCACAGUUAAAAUUGUUGUAAAUGUGCUAGAUCUGAUAGCAAUAUAUGAAGGAUCACACUCUCUAUUUUCUGAAACCAUCUGCGUGCACUUCAAUUGCAGGAUAUAUGAUCGCCUAUGGAAUCAAUUAGAGUUAAUUGGAAAUGAGCAAGUUGUGCUGAUGUAGUAGUCACUGCAUACUCUAUAUGUAGAUACAUUCAUACGUAAAGAAAAAGAGAUAAAAGUAUAUGGUUGGCUAUAAUAUGGAAAGUUAAAAAAGUUAAAAUCCACAAAGCAUAAAGUAUAAAUAUGGAAUCUGGAAGCACUGAAAAAGCAUUGUAUUGAAUCUGGAUACUAUGUAGGGAGAAA